CCCUAGAAAAUUAUUGUAAUUUUUUUAUUAUUAUUGUAUUUAAAUUAUGUCUUUAAAUUAUUGUAAUGUAGAAUUUUAAUUUUAAUAAAAUAUGAAUUUUAAAAAUAAAAGUGUAGAAAUAUGAAUUUUGUGGAAAUGGAGAUCUAAGCACCCACCUAAGACACAAUGCAUUGGAGAGGGGUGUGUCUUAGGUGGGGCCCACUCCUAAGACACCACCAUUGUGGAUGCUC
rnacentral:lncRNA from 1 species